ACAGAGGGUGCAAGCGUUAAUCGGAAUUACUGGGCGUAAAGCGUGCGUAGACGGUUAUUUAAGUCGGGUGUGAAAGCCCCGGGCUUAACCUGGGAAUGGCAUUGGAAACUGGCUCGCUGGAGUGUGGCAGAGGGGGGUGGAAUUCCGCGUGUAGCAGUGAAAUGCGUAGAGAUGCGGAGGGACACCGAUGGCGAAGGCAGCCCCCUGGGCUGACACUGACGCUCAGGCACGAAAGCGUGGGGAGCAAACAGGA
rnacentral:rRNA from 1 species